UACGAAGGGGGCUAGCGUUGCUCGGAAUCACUGGGCGUAAAGGGUGCGUAGGCGGGUCUUUAAGUCAGGGGGGAAAUCCUGGAGCUCAACUCCAGAACUGCCUUUGAUACUGAGGAUCUUGAGUUCGGGAGAGGUGAGUGGAACUGCGAGUGUAGAAGUGAAAUUCGUAGAUAUUCGCAAGAACACCAGUGGCGAAGGCGGCUCACUGGCCCGUUACUGACGCUGAGGCACGAAAGCGUGGGGAGCAAACAGG
rnacentral:rRNA from 1 species